GUGAGAGAGAUGAUACAGCUCAUUUGCUCUUCAGAACCCUGUGGUGUGAGGUAGUAAGCUGGAAUAGUUUAGUCACCACAACUUUGAAGGCACAGAUUGAGAGCAUCUUUCUUCGGAUGUGGAGCUCACAGUGAGCUGAAAGCACCAGAGACCUCCCACAUCUGGAGAGAGCAGCUCUUGAAGAAAACUAGCUGGAGAUGAUCUAUGCAUUGGGAUGGUGUAGACUGAUGUGCUCAAAGCAUGGAGAAAGAACGAGAACUCAUUCUGCCUUCUUGCCACCCCACUCUGGAGCUACCGCCCAAGAGGAGCAGAAAUACAUUAUUACAAUUCCUAGAAGGGUGAGCACAGCCUUCAGGUGCCUCUGCACAGUGGCAUAAAAAAGGAGUUUCAAGGUUAUCCAUUCAACUAUGGCAGUCCAUGCCAGGUUGUGUCCCUCAGUUGCAGAAAGCUGACGUACAUGCCCACCAGGAUAGAUGCUAGUAGCUUUACUGACAAGAGGGCUCAGCUUGGGAACAGCAGUUAUACUUGCUGAGUAAGCCUGAAUGGUUUCGUUUCAGGGUUUAAAGCCAAUUGAAGAAUUACAAGAGGGGAGGAAAAUAAGUGCUCACAAAAAAAAAAAAAAAAUAAAAAACAUGUUGAAGAUACAUUAUGUCCCUAGCUUCUUUCCACUAAUGGAUUUGAAUCCUUGAUGAAACAGUGUCACUCAAAAGAAUAUGGAUCAGGAGUGGAGCAGGUGCAACCAGCAUCAAGGGUUCAGCUCGCCCACACAAACACCCUUUUGUUGCCACAGUGGAAAGGGCAACAGCAAUUUUGAGAGCAAAGCAAGGGCAAAUACUGGAAGUCACUAUCAAAUGCUACUAGAGACCUGUCAUCAUGGUCAGGGGCAACAGCUAAGAGCUUACUCAGGGUAAAAUGAAUAAGAACCAUGUAUCCAAACAUACUGGGAGUUUGGGUGAGGGAACUUGAGAUCUAGAUGUGAAAUGAGCUGUUGGCUACUGACUAUAUUUUAAAUGAACUGAAUCCAAAGCCAGCGAAUCAACAACACCCUGAAUACUAAAAGAUUUGAAAUCCAGGUCAGGACCUUUUGAUGCGUUAUGUCACUUUUUUUCAGCUCCAGUUGUAAUAAAGAGUAGCAUAAGAAAAGCAGGAAGAUAUGAGGGCUGCUCACACAGCUACAGAAGAUCAGCUGCCAGUUAAAUACUGGGUACUGAGCCGAGACUGAAACUGGAAGGGAUAAGAUUAUAAAAGUGUUUCCAGUAGGAAUAGCAACUUUAUAAAGGAGCUUGCUAUGCACACAGCAUGAAGAAAAAAUGCUGAGGAUGUACUAGAAUAAGUCUGAUUUUUGGAGCAUACAAGUCUUUUAAGGAUUCCUCAUUUCACCAGCUGACCUGAAUAAAUGUUGCAAACAAAACCA